rnacentral:rRNA from 1 species
AGUGAACGCUGGCGGCGUGCUUAACACAUGCAAGUCGAACGAGAACGGGUUAUAGCUUGCUAUAAUUGUCAGCUAAGUGGCGCACGGGUGAGUAAUGUAUAGGUAAUAUGCCUCUUACUAAGGGAUAACAAAUGGAAACGUUUGCUAAUACCUUAUACUCCUUAUUAACAUAAGUUAAUAAGGGAAAGAUUUAUUGGUAAGAGAUUAGCCUGUAUUGUAUAAGUUAGUUGGUGGGGUAAUGGCUUACCAAGACUAUGACACAUAACUGGUUUGAGGGGAUGAUCAGUCACACUGGAACUGAGACACGGUCCAGACUCCUACGGGAGGCAGCAGUGGGGAAUAUUGCACAAUGGACGAAAGUCUGAUGCAGCAACGCCGCGUGGAGGAUGACACAUUUCGGUGCGUAAACUCCUUUUAUAUGAGAAGAUAAUGACGGUAUUAUAUGAAUAAGCACCGGCUAACUCCGUGCCAGCAGCCGCCGUAA